rnacentral:rRNA from 1 species
GACGAACGCUGGCGGCGUGCUUAACACAUGCAAGUCGAACGGAAAGGCCUCUUUCGGGGGGUACUCGCGUGGCGAACGGGUGAGUAACACGUGAGUAACCUGCCCUUGACUUUGGGAUAACUUCAGGAAACUGGGGCUAAUACCGGAUAGGAGCUCCUGCUGCCUGGUGGGGGUUGGAAAGUUUCGGCGGUUGGGGAUGGACUCGCGGCUUAUCAGCUUGUUGGUGGGGUAGUGGCUUACCAAGGCUUUGACGGGUAGCCGGCCUGAGAGGGUGACCGGCCACAUUGGGACUGAGAUACGGCCCAGACUCCUACGGGAGGCAGCAGUGGGGAAUAUUGCACAAUGGGUGGAAGCCUGAUGCAGCAACGCCGUGUGCGGGAUGACGGCCUUCGGGUUGUAAACCGCUUUCGCUCAUGACGAAGCUUUGUGUGACGGUAGUGGGUAAAGAAGCACCGGCUAACUACGUG